CUAGCACACAUCCAUAAAUUUUCCAAAUGUAGCAUUUUUAUUAUAUUAAUAUUUCUUUAAAACUAAUUAUUAAAUUAUAAAAAAUGAAACAAUUGUAAUCACGGGAAUCUUACCACUUUGAUCUCGAUGACGAAUCCACCGCCAUGCCACCGUCGUUUCACCCUCGCGAAUCCCCAUCUCCACAACCACGAAAAUGGACUCAGCGAUGGUGAGAUUCGCAGCUACAGUGAGAUUGUACGGACCACAAAACAUUCUGGUGUUUUCGUAUCUCCCAUCUUUAAUCAGAUGCCACAACGAAAUUGCUUCUCUUGAAAUACUAUAAUUAAAGGUUUCAGUGAGAGUGAUGAAGAUAAAGUUGUAAUCGCGAUCACAUUUUUAUGUGAGAUAAUGAGUGAUGAGUUUGUUGAACCGGUUCACGUUUUUGUCUAUGUUUAAGGCUUGUGCGAAAACAAGGAAGAUUCAAUAGAUAAGCGUUGAUGUAAAUGGGUUUCAAGUUCUUACUUCACAUGUAAUUAAAAGAUGCAAACUUUAUUCAAAA